UGUGUGUGUAUAUCUGUGUGUUUGUGUACAUGUGUGUAUGAAAACACACACACACACACACACACAAACACACACACACACACACACACACA
ensembl:miRNA Gm23237 predicted gene, 23237